rnacentral:misc_RNA from 1 species
GAUGAAGAACGUAGCGAAAUGCGAUACGUAGUGUGAAUUGCAGAAUUCAGUGAAUCAUCGAAUCUUUGAACGCACAUUGCGCCCUUUGGUAUUCAAAAGGGCAUGCCUGUUCGAGCGUCAUUUGUACCUUCAAGCUUUGCUUGGUGUUGGGCGUUUUUGUCUCCCUCUUUCUGGGAGACUCGCCUUAAAACGAUUGGCAGCCGGCCUACUGGUUUCGGAGCGCAGCACAUUUUUUGCGCUUUGUAUCAGGAGAAAAGGACGGUACUCCAUCAAGACUUUUACAAUUUUAACUUUUGACCUCGGAUCAGGUAGGGAUACCCGCUGAACUUAAGCAUAUCAAUAAGCGGAGGA